rnacentral:sRNA from 1 species
GUGAUUGUCACAGCAUACCCAGACUGGCUCAACCUCAAGCAAGACAACAUCCCAGCGUGGGAAGGGGAGGUAGGUUGGCAUGAGACCACCACCAGCGGAGGAGCCAUUAGCAAUUGGUAGCUACUAUGAGAGGAAGGACCAGUUUCCUUCAAUGAUGUGAUUCUUGGUAAGUUCACCACUCUCUAGGUCAGGUCCCAUUUCCAAGGCCAGUUGGGCAACACAAACUAGACUUAAUGGGAGGUGGGGGUGGGGCUCAAAUCAGAAGCAGAGGAUGGAGAGGGUGGAUAUGGAGGAGUUGGGAGAAUGGGUGAGUAUGAUCAAAAUAUAUAGUGUCUCAAAGAAUAACACAUAUUUAUUUUUCAAAAGGUCCAGGCAAGAAGGUAGGGAUGAGGAUGCUCAACAAAGAGAGUAUUCGGCUAAAGACACAUUGACAGCCAAGGUCAGCACCUCUUCCUCUGGAGAAGGCUCAAAACCAAGUGCCCAAAAUUUUUGGGAAGAAACCCAGGUGCCAGCUCAAGAUGAUGGGGAAGAAGCAGGAUUCUGCUGGAGUUGACACUGCUGUACUACACAGACCUCAUCUGAUGUCCUGCCUGAUGGCUUCAGUGCAGGCAAACUACUUGUUCAGCCAUGAAGUUUGCCUGGCCCAUCUUUCACUAUUUCCGGCACAUAGGUUUGGAGGUUCCUUUUAAAAACUGGACUGUGUGUGUUUUACCGAUGCUUUCCAUGUCUACUUCUAAAGCUCAUGUUAUCUCCCUCUAGUUGGUUAUGGCCUGUGCAUCAGUCAUUACACUCCUUCUAGAUCUGCCAUAGAACAAACAAAUUUGGGGGAAAUGUAACUGGAAAUCAACACUUGGUGAUUGAGGGAAGCUUUGAAGUAUUUCAAACUCACCCAAAUGAUGACCCGAGCAUUGAGAGCACUUGUGUUCAACCUUUAUUAAAUCUUUCAACUCUGUAUUAUUUACCUGCUGGUAACCUCAGAGCUUGAACAAAUAUACAGGACAUCUAUUGAUACUAAAAACAUUCCAGAAUCAAGCAGCAGGAGGCUGUCAGGCAAUGUUCUUCUUUCUGCCUCAUCAUCUGAAGGCAACUGUUCUUUUUGAGGUUUAGGAAAGUCUGAACCAAGUGAGCAGGUUACAGAGAAUGCCGGGAAGAUGGAGAGAGGACCUCUGUGGGCAUCAGGAGGGAUGUGGCAAAGGAAUUUCCCUUUAAGAGCAGAGGUUGGGAAUUUCCACAUGAGUUCACAGAUUUCUAGACUGAUUAGUAUCUUUAAAUUAGUCUCUAGAGAGGUUGCAACCCAGAAGUGUGUGAGCAUCCCUGUCUCACAACCUCACCUUCAUGUACUCCGUGCUCUCAAGCCUUCUGGUCUGUUUUCUAUCAAGCACUAAUUUCAGGUAUUACCAAAAAGUCUGAUCUCCAAUAAAACCUAUGACCUUCUGAAGUGGUGUGUCUAUUUGAACAAUUGUCAACGUCACCCAAACCUGAUGACUUUAUUCUGAAGAACUUUGUAUUUUUUCCACUCGGGGAUUCAAAAGUUAUUUUAUUAUAACAUUUUAUAUAAUCAUUUUAUUAUCAACAAGUUGGGGUUUUCAUAGUGUUUUGAGCUUCUGGGAAUUUUUCCUCAAAUCUUUUUCAAAUUGUUUCAAAUGGUUUCAAAUCAAAACCAUUUAAUGAUUGGAGCUGGGUAUGGUGAUGUACAAUGAUAAUCCAAGCACUUGAGAGACUCAGGGAGAAGAAGUGCAAGUUUGAGGUAAACCUAGUCUAGCAAGAUCUUGCCUCAAAAACAAAUAAGCAAACAAGCAAACAAACAAAAAAAUCUCCAAAAUCAAAUGAACAAAACAUUGGAAUUUCAGGUCAUUUUUUCAACUUUCUAUAAGUGCAUUAAAGAGACGAGCUCGUUGUCUGUCAGAUUCAUUACAAACCGAUCUUCCCACUCAGUGACUCAUUAUUCAUCUACAUUGAUUCUAGUAUUUUGCUCUAUCUAUUAUUAUAGUUAGCUGCUGUCAACCUGACAGAAACCCAGAUCUACCCGGGAAGAAGGAAUCUCGGUUGAGCAAUCACACCCAUCAGAUUGGCCUGCGGACAUGUCUGAGGAGCAUUUUCUUGGCUGCUGACUGCUGUAGGCAGACCCAGCUGUCCAUGGACAAUACCAUUUCUGGAUGUCCAUGGAAACCAGAAGAGGAUGUUGGAUUCC